rnacentral:rRNA from 1 species
CAGCAGCCGCGGGAAUACGAAGGGUGCAAGCGUUAAUCGGAAUUACUGGGCGUAAAGCGUGCGCAGGCGGUUUGUUAAGACAGAUGUGAAAUCCCCGGGCUCAACCUGGGAACUGCAUUUGUGACUGGCAAGCUAGAGUCUGGCAGAGGGGGGUGGAAUUCCGCGUGUAGCAGUGAAAUGCGUAGAUAUGCGGAGGAACACCGAUGGCGAAGGCAGCCCCCUGGGCCAACACUGACGCUCAUGCACGAAAGCGUGGGGAGCAAACAGGAUUAGAUACCCGCGUAGUCCCUGUCUCUUAUAC